GAUGAACGCUAGCUACAGGCUUAACACAUGCAAGUCGAGGGGAAACGACAUCGAAAGCUUGCUUUUGAUGGGCGUCGACCGGCGCACGGGUGAGUAACGCGUAUCCAACCUGCCCACCACUUGGGGAUAACCUUGCGAAAGUAAGACUAAUACCCGAUGAUAUCUCUAGAAGACAUCUGAAAGGGAUUAAAGAUUUAUCGGUGAUGGAUGGGGAUGCGUCUGAUUAGCUUGUUGGCGGGGUAACGGCCCACCAAGGCGACGAUCGGUAGGGGUUCUGAGAGGAAGGUCCCCCCACAUUGGAACUGAGACACGGUCCAAACUCCUAC
rnacentral:rRNA from 1 species